UACGUAGGUGGCAAGCGUUGUCCGGAUUUACUGGGCGUAAAGAGCGCGCAGGCGGUCGUUCAAGUCGCGUGUGAAAGCCCCCGGCUCAACUGGGGAGGGUCACGCGAUACUGAUCGACUCGAAGGCAGGAGAGGGUAGUGGAAUUCCCGGUGUAGUGGUGAAAUGCGUAGAUAUCGGGAGGAACACCGGUGGCGAAAGCGGCUCUCUGGAACGGUACUGACGCUGAGACGCGAAAGCGUGGGGAGCGAACAGG
rnacentral:rRNA from 1 species